CAGGUUUGUUACAUGGGUAAAUUUCAUGGCCAUUCAUUGAAAAUCAGAUGGUCACCAGGUUGUGUACCAGCAGAGCAACAGUUGCAUCAGCUGUGCCCCAUUCUCCUAGGAUAGUCUGAACCAGCACAUGCAGUGCUGGAUGAGAGGACGGUGUAAUAAUUCCCUGCAAGAGAUUAUUUGAAUAUAUUUUGCUCCGUAAGGAUGGAGUGAUGUUUCAGACUGAGAAAGCUACCAAGCAGUGCUCAAAGAUGACUCUGACAGAGCCCUAGGAGCCUCCUGACAUUCCACAGAACUCCACCUUUGAAGAUCAAUACUCUACUGGGGGCCCCCAGGUGCAGACCACUGUCCAGGUGUCAUCGGACAGAAAGUCAGCCAGAUCCUAGGAAAUCUGGAUUGGCAUCUAUACAGUCAAGGAUUGUUGCCCUGUCCGGGAAGCAUUUAUCAAAAAUUACAGUGUGAUAUUGUCCGUGUGAUUUUUUGACACAUGGCUGGGCUUUAAAGAUCCCUUGGUGUUUACCCCUCCGAGCACAUGCCAGAUGGCCCAGGCACAGAAGAAGAGCAAGAAUUGUUCCUCG
rnacentral:lncRNA from 1 species